UACGGGGGGGGCAAGCGUUGUUCGGAAUUACUGGGCGUAAAGGGCUCGUAGGCGGCCAACUAAGUCAGACGUGAAAUCCCUCGGCUUAACCGGGGAACUGCGUCUGAUACUGGAUGGCUCGAGUUUGGGAGAGGGAUGCGGAAUUCCUGGUGUAGCGGUGAAAUGCGCAGAUAUCAGGAGGAACACCGGUGGCGAAGGCGGUUCUCUGGGCAUGUCCUGACGCUGAGGAGCGAAAGCAUGGGGAGCGAACAGG
rnacentral:rRNA from 1 species